rnacentral:tRNA from 1 species
CACUGAGAAGCCAAUAAGGUAAGGCAUUAGCCUUUUAAGCUAAUAAUAGGUGUUCACCACAUACCCUUAGUGA